rnacentral:rRNA from 1 species
UACGUAGGGCGCAAGCGUUGUUCGGAAUUACUGGGCGUAAAGGGCUCGUAGGUGGCCAACUAAGUCGGACGUGAAAUCCCUCAGCUUAACUGGGGAACUGCGUCCGAUACUGGAUGGCUUGAGUUUGGGAGAGGGAUGCGGAAUUCCAGGUGUAGCGGUGAAAUGCGUAGAUAUCUGGAGGAACACCGGUGGCGAAGGCGGCAUCCUGGACCAACACUGACACUGAGGAGCGAAAGCCAGGGGAGCAAACGGG